GCCAUGGAGGCAGCCCGGGGGGCGCCCAGGGGGCAGGGGCGAUCCGCUGGCAUCCUGGCCCGGGGCAGGGGGCACCGGCUCGGGACGGGGCUGGCCCGGCAGCGGGGAGCCUGGGGACUGGUACGGGAGCGGCCGCCCUGAGCGAGAGCAGCGGAGUGAGUGGUUUGCACCGGGGGCUGCCCACUCCGGAGCGGCUCGUGCUGGGACCCAGCGAUCUCCAGGUCAUGGAGCCGAGGGGUCUGUCUGAGACACCUGCCAUCACCAUGGACGUCGAUCAGCCCUGACAGCAGGAUCGCUGACAUCUCUGCAGGGUGCCCUCGGCAUGGAGUUCCCAUGACGACGAUACGGCUUUCCAGGGAAACAGAUUCCUAGCUCCAAACCUGCAAGGUCCCAGCAUGCCUUGCAAGGUGGGGGGCAGGGAUAACUCACCCUGCUGCUGAAAUGCAGCCAUCUCUGGAGUGGAACGCACCAGAGAGGACGCUGCCGCAAACCCUGCUGCAUGGAUGCUCAACUCCCAGGAAGCAGCCAGGGCUGUAGGAAUGAGAGAGCAGCAUUUGUCACCGGUUCACAGCCGCAAACAAUUUUGUCUGGCUCCCCAGACCCCGCUUGCAGGAGCCGAGGGAGACCUGACGGAAGGCAGCUGGAGCCAGAGACAGUCAGGAAUGAAUGGAUGGGGUGGAGGUGCAAUAAAAGCCCUGACCACUGGGUGGUGCCCUCGUUCUGUACACAGGCCAGCCAGAGAUAAGGGCUUGCUGCAGGCCCUAGACAGCCUUCAGAGGGGAAGUUGCAAUACAAGCACUGGCCACUGGACGGCACCUGUGGUGUGCAAAGUUGAGCAGGGAAUUCACUGCUAGGAGAGGUGGGAUGAUUCCCCGCCCCAUGAUGCCCAUCCCCCACAGGGGAUCCCAGCCAGAUUCACCCUCAUCCUCCACACAGGGCAGCCA